UAUUAUGGAUGGAGAAGUUGCCAGCAAAUGUCGGUAAGCAUGCAUCAACUUUCUUUAGACUGAGUCGUGCUGGAGGUGUAAUCGGAGGAGCUGGAGACGCAGCGCUGGUUGGAUUUCUGGUGCAAUGAUGGCUGGGAAAGGUAUGAAGCAUGCUUUGGGUCUCGGACGGCCUUAGCCAACGGUUUGGCACGGAUGGUUAUGUUGUGGCCAUACCAACUUACCCGGGGGCACUGAGCAAAUAUUAAUGGUGCCAGUGGGGCUUCGACAGCCUUAGCCAACGGGUAGGGCGGUUAUGGUUGUACUGUGGUGUUUUGCCAUACCGGCCUGGGGGCACUGAGCAUAUGAAAAAGGUGCCAGUGGGCUUUAACAGCCUUAGCCAACAGGUAGGGCGGUUAUGGUUGUGCUGUGGUGUUUUGCCAAACCGACCUGGGGGCACUGAGCAUAUGAAAAAGGUGCCAGUGGGCUUUAAAAGCCUUAGCCAACAGGUAGGUGGUUAUGGUUGUGGUGUUUUGACAGAGGAAACGGCAUGCAAUGAGUAAGUAUUAACGAUAAUAAUAGGGCUCGGACAGCAAUAUGCAAUGGGUUGGCCUGUAUGGUUGUGCACGUAUGAUUGUGUGUGUCACUGAGCUAACAGGACAGUAGUGCAGCAACUGGAAGCAGCAGGACAAAGAAAUGAGCACUGUGGCAACUUCAGGGAGGACACUGGACAAUAAAGGCAGCAGCGGCAGACAGAAUGCAGUGAGGAUUAGUAAGGCAGCUCCAGAGAGGACACAUAACAUUGCAGUUGGAGCUUGGAGACUAUGAACCCUGUCAACAGCUAGAUACAAUUCUGCAAUAUACUAAUUGAGGCCAUAGGAAAGAAAAUGCGUAUGACAUCAAGGACCAGAGCAAGGUGAAGUCUGAAGAAGCAAAGAAAGCAGUAUGCCAAAGCACCAAGGAUACCCAGCAUGCACUGCAUGUCAUCUCAGAUUCAGCGGCUCAAUGGCUUCAUUGGACCUCCUCCAGUAUAAUUAUUUAACCAAUCUUAAUGUGUUCAUAAAUAUUUCUAUUGUCAUAUUAUUCAAUACAUUUGCAUUUCUAUAUAUACUAACUUUUUAUAAUUAAGGUGAAAUUUAUGUGCUGUACCAGAGGAGGAUGGGU